rnacentral:rRNA from 1 species
GACGAGGGAUCCUAGCGUUGUUCGGAAUCAUUGGGCGUAAAGCGGAUGUAGGUGGCUUGUAAGUCAGGUGUGAAAGCCCCGGGCUCAACCCGGGAAGUGCAUUUGAUACUGCGAAGCUUGAGUGCUAGAGAGGUUACUAGAAUACCUGGUGUAGUGGUGAAAAUACGUAGAUAUCGAGAGGAACACCAGUGGCGAAGGCGAGUCUCUGGACG